rnacentral:rRNA from 1 species
UGCAAGUCGAACGCAGUAGCAAUACUGAGUGGCAAACGGGUGAGUAUAAUGUGGGAAUCUGCCUUUUGGUUUGGAAUAACACGGGGAAACUUGUGCUAAUACCGAAUAAGCCUUUACGGGGAAAGUUUUAACGCCGAAAGAUGAGCCCGCACUUGAUUAGCUAGUUGGUAAGGUAAAAGCUUACCAAGGCAAUGAUCAAUAGCUGUUCUUAGAGGAAGACCAGCCACAUUGGGACUGAGACACGGCCCAGACUCCUACGGGAGGCAGCAGUGGGGAAUCUUGCACAAUGGGGGAAACCCUGAUGCAGCGAUGCCGCGUGAGUGAAGAAGGCCUUUGGGUUGUAAAACUCUUUCGUCGGGGAAGAAAAUGACUGUACCCGAAUAAGAAGGUCCGGCUAACUUCGUGCCAGCAGCCGCGGUAAUACGAAGGGACCUAGCGUAGUUCGGAAUUACUGGGCUUAAAGAGCUCGUAGGUGGUUAAAAAAGUUGAUGGUGAAAUCCCAAGGCUUAACCUUGGAACUGCCAUCAAAACUUUUUAGCUAGAGUGUGAUAGAGGUAAGUGGAAUUUCUAGUGUAGAGGUGAAAUUCGUAGAUAUUAGAAAGAACACCAAAUGCGAAGGCAACUUACUGGGUCACUACUGACACUGAGGAGCGAAAGCAUGGGUAGCGAAGAGGAUUAGAUACCCUCGUAGUCCAUGCCGUAAACGAUGUGUGCUAGACGUUGGAAAUAUAUUUUUCAGUGUCGCAGCGAAAGCAUUAAGCACACCGCCUGGGGAGUACGACCGCAAGGUUAAAACUCAAAUGAAUUGACGGGGACCCGCACAAGCAGUGGAGCAUGUGGUUUAAUUCGAAGAUACGCGCAGAACCUUACCAACACUUGACAUGUUCGUCGCGAGCCUAAGAGAUUAGGCUUUUCAGUUUGGCUGGACGAAAC